rnacentral:rRNA from 1 species
CGAAAGCCUGACGGAGCAACGCCGCGUGGGGGAAGAAGGUUCUUGGAUUGUAAACCCCUUUUCUCAGGGAAGAAGAUCUGACGGUACCUGAGGAAUCAGCCUCGGCUAACUCCGUGCCAGCAGCCGCGGUAAUACGGAGGAGGCAAGCGUUAUCCGGAAUUAUUGGGCGUAAAGCGUCCGCAGGUGGUCUGGCAAGUCUGCUGUCAAAGACCGGGGCUUAACUCCGGAAAGGCAGUGGAAACUGCGAGACUAGAGUGCGGUAGGGGUAGAGGGAAUUCCCGGUGUAGCGGUGAAAUGCGUAGAGAUCGGGAAGAACAUCGGUGGCGAAAGCGCUCUACUGGGCCGCAACUGACACUCAGGGACGAAAGCUAGGGGAGCG